GAAAGCUUUGAACAGAGAUAAAUAAUGGUGCAGCACUCAUUUUAACACUUGGCGACAUAAUAGAUUGAGUUAGGGAGCUUGAAGGUUCUCUUGGGAAGAGGACAACCUGCGAAACUGCUCCAUUGGUCUCCCAUCACUCCCCAGACUCUGUAACCAAGACUCGUUAGCCAUGUCCUCUUCUCUGACUUGUACUGUUUUACUUCCUUUUGCUCAUCUUCUAGCCCCCUGCAUUGUUCAGUUUUCUUGUUAGAGUAAACCAGAAUAACUAGAGGGGUGUAUAAAAUUUGUUUUGUGCUCACUUGAAGUGAAAUGAAAACUACUCAGGUAUUUAAGUAAUGGAGAAACUUGGCUUUUCACUCAA